rnacentral:tRNA from 2 species
GGAAGAGCCAUCCGACGGCUGGCGACGGACUGCGUCUUGAAAACGUUUGGCUGCUAAUAACGGCGUGUGGGUUCGAUCCCCACCUCUUCCGCCA